rnacentral:rRNA from 1 species
UACGUAGGGACCGAGCGUUGUCCGGAAUCAUUGGGCGUAAAGCGCGUGUAGGCGGCUAUUUAAGUCCUGCGUGAAAUCCUGCGGCUCAACCGCAGACGGUCGUGGGAAACUGGAUGGCUAGAGUGCGGGAGAGGAGAGUGGAAUUCCCGGUGUAGCGGUGAAAUGCGCAGAUAUCGGGAAGAACACCCGUGGCGAAGGCGGCUCUCUGGAACGCAACUGACGCUGAGACGCGAAAGCGUGGGGAGCAAACAGG